rnacentral:rRNA from 1 species
GACGAACGCUGGCGGCGUGCUUAACACAUGCAAGUCGAACGGAAAGGCCCUGCUUUUGUGGGGUGCUCGAGAGGCGAACAGGGGUGUAUCACGUGAGUAGCCUCCGCUUUACUGUGGGAUAACAUCAGGGAACUGGAACUCAUACCCGAUAUGAGAUCCUGCUACACAGUGGUGGUUGUUAAAUUUCGCAAUUUCGGCGUAUACGGAUGGCCUCGCGGCGUAUUGGCUUGUUGGUGAGGUAGCGGCGCAUCAAGGCGUUGACGGACAGCCGGACUGAGAGGGUGACCGGCCACAAUGGGACUGAGAUACGGCCAAGACUGCUACGUGAGGCAGCAGUGGGGAAUAUUGCACAAUGGGCGGAAGCCUGAUGCAGCAACGCCGCGUGCGGGAUGACGGCUUUCGGGUUGUAACCCGCGUUCGCCUGUGACGAAGCGUGAGUGACGGUAAUGGGUAAAGAAGCACCGGCUAACUACGUG